rnacentral:rRNA from 1 species
AUGCUUCUUUCUGUCACCGUUUGUUUCAUCCUCCUUUAUCGGCAAGUAAUUGUUUUCUUUUUUGCCUCUGUUAAAAUAGGGGUAUCUAUUCAACUUGUUGCCAUUGCGACAUUUUGCUUCACUACGCGAAACACGUUGCUUGAUUUCAGUGCAACUGCACAAAACGAGAUUGGAUUUCCUAUUCGCUUUGGUAGAUUCAUAUUUUAUUAUGGUCGUCUCAUGAAAGGGAUAUCAAAAUUAAAGCUCGGUUUUAUUCCGACUUUUAUUUUAGUUGAACUGCACAAAAGGAGCCAAUGUGUCCAAGGCAAACUGCUGCAUUACUAG